rnacentral:lncRNA from 1 species
CACCUUCAACAUUAAGUGAGUUAGUAUUAGUGCAUGUGUUAAGCUCACCUUCAACAUUAAGUGAAUUAGUAUUAUUAGUAUUAGUGCAUGUGUUAAGCUCACCUUCAACAUUAAGUGAAUUAAUAGUGUUAGUGCAUGUGUCGAGCUCACCUUCAACAUUAAGUGUGUUAGUAUUAAUAGUGUUAGUGCAUGUGUCGAGCUCACAUGUGUUGAGCUCACCUGCUGUCUCCUCCUCCAGGUGCUGUUGCGGGCGCGGGCGGUGGAGACCCAGUGCUACGUGCUGGCGGCUGCCCAGGUGGGCCCUCACCACGCCAAGCGCUCCUCGUACGGGCACGCGCUGGCCGUGGACCCCUGGGGGACGGUGCUGUCGGACCUGGGGGCCACGGAAUCGGGCCUGGCGCUGGUGGAGGUGGACCUGCAGAAGCUGAGGGACACACGCAGGGACAUGCCAGUCCAACAGCACCGCAGGGAGGCAGACUACUACGGAAGCCUGGAUACUGACUGAGAUGGUGCUCAAGUCAAUACUUCAAUGCACUAAAUUCACUUGUUAAUUGGGCAGGAAGUAGGAAGUAGGGAGUGUGAGUCGGAGAAGGAGGGUAGUUGAGUGUGUGGUGUGUGUGUGUGUGUGUGUGUGUGUGUGUGUGUGUGUGUGUGUGUGUGUGACUGGACCAAGUCUGCUCUACUGUUUGACUCUGCUAGGUUUAUUGGGCAGUGACUUUCCACACAGAAAUGUCAAUUAUUUAAUAUAUAUACACAGUACCAGUCAAAGGUUUGGACACACCUUCUCAUUCAAUGGUUUUUCUUUAUUUUUAUGAUUUUCUACAUUGUAGAUUGAUACUGAAGACAUCAAAACUAUGGAAGAACACAUAUGGAAUUAUAUAGUAAACAAAAAAGUGUUAAACAAACCAGAAUAUGUUUUAGAUUUUAGAUUCUUCAGAGUAGCCACCUUGCUUUGAUGAUGGCUUGCCCACUCUUGGCAUUCUUCAAAUCAGCUUCGUGAGGUAGUCCAUGAAAAACCACUGGUACUGUGCAUAUAUAUUAUACACGCAUAUGUCACAGCGACUGGUACUGUGCAUAUAUAUCUAUACACGCAUAUGUCACAGCGACUGGUGCUGUACAUAUAUAUCAUACACACAUGUGUCACAGCCCGCUAUCUGUUUCAAUGUUGAGCUGCAAGCCUCCAUAUGUGAAGAAUGCUAGACCAGAGGUACUGUGUUUCCCUAAUGAAGUGUAUAAUGUGAAAAUGAAAUGCUUGUAAUUAAACUGAUGUGCUUUCCACGGAUGGUGUUUAUCAAUGCCUGCUAACUUUUGUGUUUAAUGUCUAAGUAGCCAUCUUGGCCUCCAGUCUGUCCUCAAACAGUACAAAUAUUAAAAAGGUAAUGAAACUUAUGACCUAUAUGAAGCUCAAAUAAAUAAACUGAAAAUGUCA